rfam:Cryptosporidium parvum Iowa II chromosome 6, whole genome shotgun sequence.
GGGUUGUUAGUCUAGUGGUAUGAUUCAUGUUUCGGGUACAUGAGGUCCCGGGUUCGAUUCCCGGAUAACCCC